UGGGGAAUUUUGGACAAUGGGCGAAAGCCUGAUCCAGCAAUGCCGCGUGUGUGAAGAAGGCCUUCGGGUUGUAAAGCACUUUUGUCCGGAAAGAAAUCCUUGGCUCUAAUACAGUCGGGGGAUGACGGUACCGGAAGAAUAAGCACCGGCUAACUACGUGCCAGCAGCCGCGGUAAUACGUAGGGUGCAAGCGUUAAUCGGAAUUACUGGGCGUAAAGCGUGCGCAGGCGGUUUGCUAAGACCGAUGUGAAAUCCCCGGGCUCAACCUGGGAACUGCAUUGGUGACUGGCAGGCUAGAGUAUGGCAGAGGGGGGUAGAAUUCCACGUGUAGCAGUGAAAUGCGUAGAGAUGUGGAGGAAUACCGGUGGCGAAGGCAGCCCCCUGGGCCAAUACUGACGCUCAUGCACGAAAGCGUGGGGAGCAAACAGGAUUAGAUACCCUGGUAGUCCACGCCCUAAACGAUGUCAACUAGUUGUUGGGGAUUCAUUCCUUAGUAACGUAGCUAACGCGUGAAGUUGACCGCCUGGGGAGUACGGUCGCAAGAUUAAAACUCAAAUGAAUUG
rnacentral:rRNA from 1 species